rnacentral:tRNA from 1 species
GCGCCCGUAGCUCAAUUGGAUAGAGCACCAGACUACGAAUCUGGGGGUUGUCGGUUCGAUUCCGGCCGGGCGCGCCA